rnacentral:lncRNA from 1 species
CCCGCACCCGCUCGCUGCCGCCGGCCCCGCGCCCCCACGCGCCCCCACGUCCGCGUUCUUCUCGUAGGCGUGCGCGAUUUCGACCUGCCAAGAGUUUGCAGAACUGGUCAGAUGGCAGUCCAUCUUCAGAGGUAGUAGAUGUGCCAAGAAUCUCUACAAGAAAAAAAAUCAGAAAGGUCUUCGAUACUGACCGGAUUGAAGUGCUCCCUGAGCAGGCGAGCAGAGGCUGCAGAGCACUCCAUCCGAGACAACAGGAGAAAGGAGAAAGAGGCAAGCAGGACACCACGGCGGCGCGGCAGCGUGCGGCGCGCGCUGCGGGGCUUGGCCCGGCGACGUCGGUGCGGAGGACGACGGGCCUAGAGGACGGAAAGAGCGGCGAUAAGACAGUUAUAGGAACAGAGGCCCUGGCGACCGAGGCGGCGGCGAGGAUGGAGGACUCCAUCGGCGACGUGAAGAGGACGGGGCAGUCGGUGGUGAGAAGAGGCGAGUCGGUGGUGGAGAGGCAACAAGAGUGCCGCGGUGAUCGAUUGGGCUAUAAUCAUCAUGACUAUUAUUUAUUAUUUUAUUUUAUUAUUAUUGUGUGUUUUAUGAC